GUUGGCCCUGAGCCAACUGGAAUUCUUCCCUUGAACGUUCUUGUGUGUAAGCAGGAGAAAUCAGCAGUCUGUCGUCAGUGGUGGAUGCUGUAAGACCUAAAACCUGGAAGUUCUUGAAGACCAUAUUUCCUGCCAUAACAAGAAAACCAGGAUGCAGACAGUGAAAAUUAACAGAAUAGGCAAAGAGAAACAGAAAGUCUUUGAGGAAAUCCCAGAAGCCAUUCAGCAGUGCAGCACAUUAGUUUCUACAUAAAAAUGGAAGCUGGAAGCCAGUUGUCCUUCCUGGGAUCACAGCUACUCCACUUUCCUCAGCAUAUUCUGCAGGAAAACAAAGAAAAGGAAAGAAAAGGACUGUACUUCAAAAAAUGCCAAACAUGAGAGCGUGUGAUGAAAUAUCCAUCUGCACUGUGGAAGCCUGACAUCUUGAUGCAUUGAGACCUAGGGGCCAGUAGGUGCCUAACCAAUAUGUAUUCAUCGAAUAUGAGCUGAAUGAGUAAAUGAAUGAAAUUGUAAAAGUCCUGGAUUCUGAACCUGAGCUUGUCUUUAACACGCUGUAUUGUUGUCAAGUCACAUCUCCUCUGGGAUUCUCUCUUCAUUUGCUAAAUGGGUAUAUUUCUUUUUUUUUUUUCACUUAAAUAAAUAAAUUAAUCAA